AAUUUGCCUUUAGGAAGAGGAUAACAAUUAGAAAUAGUUGCUAAAACUCUAUAUGCCAUUCGGUGAAAAAACAAAUUUGCCUAAAGAAAACCUCGCGUCUGAUUAGCUAGUUGGUUGGGUAAAGGCCUACCAAGGCGACUAUCAGUACCUGGUCUGAGAGGACGAUCAGCCACACUGGAACUGAAACACGGGCCACACUCCUACGGGAGGCACCCCCGAGGAAUUUUCUGCAAUGGGCGAAAGCCUGACAGAACAAUACCGCGUGAGGGAUGAAGGCCUAUGGGUUGGAAACCUCUUUUCUCAAGGAGGAAGAUCUGACGUUACUUGAGGAAUAAGCAUCGGCUAACCCUGUGCCAGCAGCCGCGGUAAUACAGGGGAUGCAAGUGUUAUCCGGAUUCAUUGGGCGUAAAGCGUCUGCAGGUUGAUAUUUAAGUCUUUUGUUAAAACUUCGGGCUCAACCCGAAAUCUGCAAAAGAAACUAUGUAUCUUGAGUAUGGUAGAGGUAAAGGGAAUUUCCAGUGGAGCGGUGAAAUGCUUAGAGAUUGGAAAGAACACCAACAGCGAAGGCACUUUACUGGGCCAGUACUGACACUGAGAGACGAAAGCUAGGGCAGCAAACGGGAUUAGAUACCCCGGUAGUCCUAGCUGUAAACGAUGGAUACUANAUGUUGCGCAUUUUUAUAUGUGACUGUCUAGCUAAUUCGCUAAGUAUUCUGCCUGGGAGUAUGCUCACAAGAGUGAAACUCAAAGGAAUUGACGGGGGCCCG
rnacentral:rRNA from 1 species